rnacentral:rRNA from 1 species
AACGCUAGCUACAGGCUUAACACAUGCAAGUCGAGGGGCAGCAUGGUCUUAGCUUGCUAAGGCCGAUGGCGACCGGCGCACGGGUGAGUAACACGUAUCCAACCUGCCGUCUACUCUUGGACAGCCCUCUGAAAGGAAGAUUAAUACAAGAUGGCAUCAUGAGUUCACAUGUUCACAUGAUUAAAGGUAUUCCGGUAGACGAUGGGGAUGCGUUCCAUUAGAUAGUAGGCGGGGUAACGGCCCACCUAGUCUUCGAUGGAUAGGGGUUCUGAGAGGAAGGUCCCCCACAUUGGUACUGAGACACGGACCAAACUCCUACGGGAGGCAGCAGUGAGGAAUAUUGGUCAAUGGGCGGAAGCCUGAACCAGCCAAGUCGCGUGAGGGAAGACGGCCCUAAGGGUUGUAAACCUCUUUUGCCGGGGAGCAAAAGCGCCGUGCGCGGUGCUAUGAGAGUACCCGGAGAAAAAGCAUCGGCUAACUCCGUGCCAGCAGCCGCGGUAAUACGGAGGAUGCGAGCGUUAUCCGGAUUUAUUGGGUUUAAAGGGUGCGUAGGCGGACAGUUAAGUCAGCGGUCAAAACGGGCGGCUCAACCGCCUGCCGCCGUUGAAACUGGCAGUCUAGAGUGGGCGAGAAGUACGCGGAAUGCGCGGUGUAGCGGUGAAAUGCAUAGAUAUUGCGCAGAACUCCGAUUGCGAAGGCAGCGUACCGGCGCCCGACUGACGCUGAGGCACGAAAGCGUGGGGAUCGAACAGGAUUAGAUACCCUGGUAGUCCACGCAGUAAACGAUGGACACUAUCUGUUCGGGUCGAAUGGGAUCUGAGUGGCACAGCGAAAGCGUUAAGUGUCCCACCUGGGGAGUACGCCGGCAACGGUGAAACUCAAAGGAAUUGACGGGGGUCCGCACAAGCGGAGGAACAUGUGGUUUAAUUCGAUGAUACGCGAGGAACCUUACCCGGGCUCAAACGCACGACGGCGGCACGUGAAAGCGUGCUUACCUACGGGACGUUGUGCGAGGUGCUGCAUGGUUGUCGUCAGCUCGUGCCGUGAGGUGUCGGCUUAAGUGC